UACGGAGGGGGCUAGCGUUGUUCGGAAUUACUGGGCGUAAAGCGUACGCAGGCGGCUUUGUAAGUUAGAGGUGAAAGCCCGGGGCUCAACUCCGGAAUUGCCUUUAAGACUGCAUCGCUUGAACGUCGGAGAGGUAAAUGGAAUUCCGAGUGUAGAGGUGAAAUUCGUAGAUAUUCGGAAGAACACCGAUGGCGAAGGCGACUUACUGGACGACUGUUGACGCUGAGGUACGAAAGCGUGGGGAGCAAACAGG
rnacentral:rRNA from 1 species